AACGAACGCUGGCGGCAGGCUUAACACAUGCAAGUCGAGCGCCCCGCAAGGGGAGCGGCAGACGGGUGAGUAACGCGUGGGAACGUACCCUUUGCUACGGAAUAGCUCCGGGAAACUGGAAUUAAUACCGUAUGUGCCCUACGGGGGAAAGGUUUAUCGGCAAAGGAUCGGCCCGCGUGGGAUUAGCUAGAUGGUGGGGUAAUGGCCUACCAAGGCGACGAUCCAUAGCUGGUCUGAGAGGAUGAUCAGCCACAUUGGGACUGAGACACGGCCCAAACUCCUACGGGAGGCAGCAGUGGGGAAUAUUGGACAAUGGGCGCAAGCCUGAUCCAGCCAUGCCGCGUGGGUGAUGAAGGCCUUAGGGUUGUAAAGCUCUUUCACCGGAGAAGAUAAUGACGGUAUCCGGAGAAGAAGCCCCGGCUAACUUCGUGCCAGCCGCCGCAGUAAUAC
rnacentral:rRNA from 1 species